AACAGGAGUCAGUGUAUUAGUAUGUAUUUUCGAACAGCUGGUUGUUACAUUUUCCCAAAAAAUCCCAAAAUAGACACCUAGGAACCAGUUAGCUUUUUAAAGCAUUAAAAGAUCAGAUAGACGGUUUGUUUUGGUAACUUUUACACACAGGUCAACUUACGCGAUAACGAACAAAGCCUCCCUGGUUCCCUUGCCGUCGUUUGGCGGCGUGCAGACCAAAACCACCGAGACCUAGACGACGGACCGGGCAUUACCGGGCAUGAUCCGGGCGCUACCGGGCAUGACCAGACGUUACCGGGCGUAACCGGGCAUGGACCGGGCGUUACCAGGCACGGACCGGGUUUUACCGGGCACGGACCGGGUUUUACCGGGCACGCACUCAGUGGCCCAGGUCUGAUGAAAAAGCUUCUUCUGCUGCUAGGAUUCACACAGUAUCGGCUUCCUGUGUUGUCCAGGCCAUCAGAGCUAAUUGCCCAGCAUAAGAUGGGCAGUACCGUGGCUACCAGGAGACAGUAGAUGCUCAAGAUGAGCUGUGACUAUUUUUACCCUAGCAAACGCACCCUACCCGUUUUCUUUUUGUAAAUAGUUCAUAUUUUUCAUGAAUAAAACUUCAAAUUCA